UGGGAAGAGGCCGGGCGGCCGAAAAACAAAGAGAUCAGCAAUCAGAAAUAGAUCGCGGUGAGCGGCGAAAAGCGCCGUUUUUUGGAGUUACAAAACGUCGUGUAACUCAAAAACUAGGAGGGCUAGCAGCCUAAUUCUUGUACUGGGUGAAUCAGCGGACUUUGGUGUAUUUUGACGGCGAUUUUCAUAGCUCUUUGUACCUCCGUCGCGGAGAUAUGACGAGAGAAGAAACGGCUUCAUUUUCAGAGUGUGAGAACUGAGAGGAGGACAGAUUUCCACCCCUCAAACAAACGUAAUUCAUUGCUCAACGGGUUCGUGGCAACCACGGAUGGGAAAAUGUGGAGGUUGCACGGCUGAUGUUUACUGUUCGUGGCACAGGAAGAGGCAGUUUCAUUUCAGGAAUGAGUGUGCACAAUCAAAGAGCGACUGUGGAGAGACCUCUGGGUGGCCGUUACAUGCAUUUACUACGAUGUUCUUCACAACACUGAGGAAGAAGGCCUUCUUGAUAUUUCAAAUGCUGCACACCUCUUUUGCUGCCAUUACAGCUUUCUUCCUCGACUAGAGGAUAAUUUUAAUACAUUUUGCAGUGGAUGGGACAACCAUCCACUGCGCGAAGAAACAACAUGAGUCCCCAACCAGCUGUGGGAGUUGGGUCACAGAUAUCACCCUGUUCCUGUUCCAGAAAACACACAGCUUAUCGCACAUUUGAUUUCCAUGUGUGACAACUGCAAGUGUCCAGAGUGAGGACAGACUGAGGGACCCACUGCUGCACAUCAUCUGUGAGGCUUUGCACCCCUGAUGAUCCACCAGGACAAACUCAGCAGUGUGUGAGGAAGAGGAGGAGGAAGAGCCAGCAGCAGCUGACAGAUGGAGAGAAUAGACAGACUGUUCCCUGUUUGUGAAGGACUGCUAGGAAAGUUUAACAUAACUAAUUGUCUGUCCUGAAUCAGUCUUAUUAGGUAAUGUUCAAAUAAUGUUAUCAUUCCAGUGUUUCCAGUGUGGGAGAAAGUACUCAGGGCCUUCAAGUUACACACUAUGAAAGGCAGCAACAAGUUUAAUAUUCAGAAACCUAAAGUAUGUAUCAGCAGCAGAAUGGAGAUAAAAAUAAAUGUUUGUUUCAGUUCUAUGAAGCUUUGAGUAUUUUGCAUUAGUAGUACUGCUGUGUUUGUUGCAUCAUAUUGCUGUAACUGUUUAUAUGCUUUAUAUAUUCUGAGGUAAGUUGAUCUAUAGUGUUACAUCAUAUUCUAUAAGGAUGUUAUGUGUUUGUAUACUUUCUGCCCAGUUUGACCCAUUUAGCAGACGUCAGUCUGUUUAAGGCUCUGAUAUCUAUUCUGUAUGACUUAAAGCAGUUAUGACAUGGUAUGAUUUUCUCACCCAAUAAAG
ensembl:lncRNA